rnacentral:rRNA from 1 species
AUUGAACGCUGGCGGCAGGCCUAACACAUGCAAGUCGAGCGGAUGAAGGGAGCUUGCUCCUGGAUUCAGCGGCGGACGGGUGAGUAAUGCCUAGGAAUCUGCCUGGUAGUGGGGGAUAACGUCCGGAAACGGGCGCUAAUACCGCAUACGUCCUGAGGGAGAAAGUGGGGGAUCUUCGGACCUUACGCUAUCAGAUGAGCCUAGGUCGGAUUAGCUAGUUGGUGGGGUAAAGGCCUACCAAGGCGACGAUCCGUAACUGGUCUGAGAGGAUGAUCAGUCACACUGGAACUGAGACACGGUCCAGACUCCUACGGGAGGCAGCAGUGGGGAAUAUUGGACAAUGGGCGAAAGCCUGAUCCAGCCAUGCCGCGUGUGUGAAGAAGGUCUUCGGAUUGUAAAGCACUUUAGGUUGGGAGGAAAGGCAGUAAGUUAAUACCUUGCUGUUUUGACGGUACCAACAGAAUAAGCACCGGCUAACUUCGUG